GUCAGUAAGCGGAGGAAAAGAAACUAACGAGGAUUCCCCCAGUAGCGGCGAGCGAACAGGGAUGAGCCCAGCACCGAACCUCGCGCCCGGUCUAGCGGGUGCCGAGGAAUGUGGUGUUCGGGAGGAUCGUGCGCGCCUGUCCGGUAUUUAUCGUCCAAGUCUCCAUGAACGGGGCGAGCAACCCACAGAGGGUGUCAGGCCCGUAGCUUUGACGAGCCGAGACCGUGCAUCGGAUCCCUUCCCAAGAGUCGGGUUGCUUGAGCGUGCAGCCCUAAGCGGGAGGUAAACUCCUUCUAAGGCUAAAUAUCGCCACGAGACCGAUAGCGAACAAGUACCGCGAGGGAAAGUUGAAAAGAACUUUGAAGAGAGAGUUCAAGAGUGCGUGAAACCGUUCAGGGGGUUAAACGGGUGGGCCCUCGAAGGUCGAACGUGCCCCCGCUCCCGGCACUUGGUUGCAUGCCCUCGUUGCUGCGAAUCGAGACUGUCCCCUGAUUUGGCGGCUCUGAUUUCGUUCGGCGAGGACCGCAAUAGCCGCGCCAAGGUCCGCAAGUGGGGGGCCUAGUAGGACUCCGCGACCGGCUGGGUGUCUGUCAUACGGGGCGUUUUGUUAGCGAGUUUUCGGAUCCUUCGUGGUUCGAAUGACGAGCGCAGCGUCUCCCGACAGUACUGCCCGGCCGUGACCUGUCUCCUCCCGGGAGGUUCGGUUCGUGUGUCGUCGUCGCCGAUCGUCGUUUAAUCACGGCGGCUGGUUUCGGCGAUAUCGCGGCCGUCCCCAACCCGUGGAGGCCCAGAGCGGAGAGUAGAAGUCGGGUCCCACCCGACCCGUCUUGAAACACGGACCAAGGAGUCUAACAUGUGCGCGAGUCGUCGAGUCUAUCACGAAACUCGCGAGGCGCAAUGAAAGUGAAGCGGCCCCGAUGAGGGUGCAUCCGCGAGGGGUGAUCUCGUCUCGAACAGAGCGGGCGCAACCCCUGGGCGUCCGAAUGCUCGCGAAGGUUGUUUGCCGUUCCCGUUAAACGGAGCGGCAUCUGCCGAGUCGGCCGGACGAACCAAGAGCGUACACGUUGGGACCCGAAAGAUGGUGACCUAUGCCUGGCCAGGACGAAGCCAGGGGAAACCCUGGUGGAGGUCCGCAGCGAUUCUGACGUGCAAAUCGAUCGUCGGAGUUGGGUAUAGGGGCGAAAGACUAAUCGAACCAUCUAGUAGCUGGUUCCCCCCGAAGUUUCCCUCAGGAUAGCUGGUGCUCGCAGAGAGAACGAACGGAGUUUCAUCCGGUAAAGCGAAUGAUUAGAGGCCUUGGGGUCGAAACGACCUCAACCUAUUCUCAAACUUUCAAUGGGUGAGAAGCCCGGCCUUUUUUUCAUCUUGAUUGAGGCCGCGGCAACUUUAUAGAAUCUGAGCGCCCAGUGGGCCAUUUUUGGUAAGCAGAACUGGCGCUGUGGGAUGAACCAAACGCCCGGUUAAGGCGCCUAAACGACGCACAUUUCGGAUCCCACGAAAAGGAGUUGGUUGCUAAAGACAGCAGGACGGUGGCCAUGGAGGUCGGAAUCCGCUCAGGAGUGUGUAACAACUCACCUGCCGAAGCAACUAGCCCUUAAAAUGGGAGGCGCUAUAGCGUCGUGCCUAUACCGGGCCGUCGGUCGGCAGAGCGAAUAACGUCCGUGUCAGCUCGAAGAGAGCGACGGCGCUGAGGCCCCGACGAGUAGGGGGGUCGCGACGGUGAGCGUAGAAGGGUUGUGGGCGCGAGCCUGCCCGGAGCCGCCGUCGGUGCAGAUCUUGGUGGUAGUAGCAAAUACUCCAGAGGGAUCCUGGAGGACUGACGCGGAGAAGGGUUUCAUGUGAACAGUGGUUGGACAUGAGUCAGUCGAUCCUAAGCCGCAGGCGAAAGCCGGCCAAGUGACGGGCGUGAUGCGCGAUAUAUACCUUUUUUAAAUAUAUAUAUUUAUGUAUUGAAAAAAAAAAAAUUAUCGUUAUCUACGAGACGCCCCCUGGUUAAGGCGAAAGGGAAUCCGGUCCUGAUUCCGGAACCGGGCUGCGGCUACGUCCGCGAUCAAAAACGAAUUCAACCCUCGUAAUUUUGUCUCGGUCGCGGUAACGCGACACAAACCGGAGAAGCUGCCGAGAACCCCGGGAAGAGUUUUCUUUUCUGCUUGAGGGACCGAGACCCUGGAAUCCCGUCGCGGGGCGAGAGGGUUACGGAUUUAGCUGUCAAAGGCUAUCCCGAAGAGCGUCGCGUUUCUGCGACGUCCGUGGUCGUUCUCGGCUGGCCCUUGAAAAUCCGGUGGGAGGGUUACGUUGUUGGACGUUCGCGCCCGUUCGUACCGAUAUCCGCAUCAGGUCUCCAAGGUGAACAGCCUCUAGUCGAUGGAUGAAUGUGGGUAAGGGAAAUCGGCAAAUUGGAUCCGUAACUUCGGGAUAAGGAUUGGCUCUGAGGGUCGAGGCGGUCGGGCUGAGUUUCAAAGCGAAGCCGUCGGCGGACGUGUCAGGCCUGGGCUAAAGU
rnacentral:rRNA from 1 species